rnacentral:rRNA from 1 species
CCUACGGGAGGCUGCAGUGGGGGAUAUUGGACAAUGGGGGGAACCCUGAUCCAGCGACGCCGCGUGAGUGAAGAAGUAUUUCGGUAUGUAAAGCUCUGUCAGCAGGGAAGAAAGAAAUGACGGUACCUGACCAAGAAGCCCCGGCUAACUACGUGCCAGCAGCCGCGGGAAUACGUAGGGGGCAAGCGUUAUCCGGAAUUACUGGGUGUAAAGGGAGCGUAGACGGUUAAGUAAGUCUGGAGUGAAAGGCCGGGGCCCAACCCCGGGACUGCUCUGGAAACUAUUGAACUUGAGUGCAGGAGAGGUAAGCGGAAUUCCUAGUGUAGCGGUGAAAUGCGUAGAUAUUAGGAGGAACACCAGUGGCGAAGGCGGCUUACUGGACUGUAACUGACGUUGAGGCUCGAAAGCGUGGGGAGCAAACAGGAUUAGAUACCCGUGUAGUC